rnacentral:rRNA from 1 species
GAUGAACGCUGGCGGCGUGCUUAACACAUGCAAGUCGAACGAUGAAGCCCCGCUUGCUGGGUGGAUUAGUGGCGAACGGGUGAGUAACACGUGAGUAACCUGCCCUUAACUCUGGGAUAAGCCUGGGAAACUGGGGCUAAUACCGGAUAGGAGCGCCUACCGCAUGGUGGGUGUUGGAAAGAUUUAUCGGUUUUGGAUGGACUCGCGGCCUAUCAGCUUGUUGGUGAGGUAAUGGCUCACCAAGGCGACGACGGGUAGCCGGCCUGAGAGGGUGACCGGCCACACUGGGACUGAGACACGGCCCAGACUCCUACGGGAGGCAGCAGUGGGGAAUAUUGCACAAUGGGCGAAAGCCUGAUGCAGCGACGCCGCGUGAGGGAUGACGGCCUUCGGGUUGUAAACCUCUUUCAGUAGGGAAGAAGCGAAAGUGACGGUACCUGCAGAAGAAGCACCGGCUAACUACGUG